UGAACGCUGGCGGCGUGCUUAACACAUGCAAGUCGCACGAGAACGCUUCAGCUUGCUGAAGUUAGUAAAGUGGCGCACGGGUGAGUAACGCGUGGGUAAUCUACCCUCGAAUUGGGGAUAACAUCGCGAAAGUGAUGCUAAUACCGAAUGACAUUUUGAAAACAUAUGUUUUCAAGAUCAAAGGUGGCCUCUACAUGUAAGCUAUUGUUUGGGGAUGAGCCCGCGUACCAUUAGCUUGUUGGUAGGGUAAUGGCCUACCAAGGCUACGAUGGUUAGCUGGUCUGAGAGGAUGAUCAGCCACACUGGAACUGACACACGGUCCAGACUCCUACGGGAGGCAGCAGUGAGGAAUUUUGCGCAAUGGGGGAAACCCUGACGCAGCAACGCCGCGUGAGUGAUGAAGGCUUUCGGGUCGUAAAGCUCUGUCAAGUGGGAAGAAUCCAUAUGGUGUUAAUACCGCCAUAUGCUGACGGUACCACUGAAGGAAGCACCGGCUAACUCC
rnacentral:rRNA from 1 species